GACGAACGCUGGCGGCGUGCCUAACACAUGCAAGUCGAACGGAACUGUUUUGAAAGAUUUCUUCGGAAUGAAUUUGAUUUAGUUUAGUGGCGGACGGGUGAGUAACGCGUGAGUAACCUGCCUUCAAGAGGGGGAUAACAUUCUGAAAAGAAUGCUAAUACCGCAUGAUAUAUCGGAACCACAUGGUUUUGAUAUCAAAGAUUUUAUCGCUUGAAGAUGGACUCGCGUCCGAUUAGUUAGUUGGUGAGGUAAUGGCUCACCAAGACCGCGAUCGGUAGCCGGACUGAGAGGUUGAACGGCCACAUUGGGACUGAGACACGGCCCAGACUCCUACGGGAGGCAGCAGUGGGGGAUAUUGCGCAAUGGGGGCAACCCUGACGCAGCAACGCCGCGUGAAGGAUGAAGGUUUUCGGAUUGUAAACUUCUUUUAUUAAGGACGAAAAAUGACGGUACUUAAUGAAUAAGCUCCG
rnacentral:rRNA from 1 species